rnacentral:rRNA from 1 species
AUUGAACGCUGGCGGCAGGCCUAACACAUGCAAGUCGAGCGGAUGAAGGGAGCUUGCUCCUGGAUUCAGUGGCGGACGGGUGGGUAAUGCCUAGGAAUCUGCCCGGCAGAGGGGGAUAACGUCCGGAAACUGGCGCUAAUACCGCAUACGUCCAGAGGGUGAAAGUGGGGGAUCUUCGGACCUCACGCUAUCAGCUGAGCCUAGGUCGGAUUAGCUAGUUGGUGUGGUAAGGGCCUACCAAGGCGACGAUCCGUAACUGGUCUGAGAGGGUGAUCGGCCACACUGGAACUGAGACACGGUCCAGACUCCUACGGGAGGCAGCAGUAGGGAAUAUUGGGCAAUGGGCGAAAGCCUGAUGCAGCAAUGCCGCGUGAGUGAAGAAGGUCUUCGGAUUGUAAAACUCUGUUAGUAGGGAAGAAGGGCAGUGAGUGAAUACCUUGCUGUUUUGACGGUACCAACAGAGUAAGCCACGGCUAACUUCGUG